rnacentral:rRNA from 1 species
CCUACGGGAGGCAGCAGUGGGGGAUAUUGCACAAUGGGGGAAACCCUGAUGCAGCGACGCCGCGUGGGUGAAGAAGCGCCUCGGCGCGUAAAGCCCUGUCAGCAGGGAAGAAAAUGACGGUCCCUGAAGAAGAAGCCCCGGCUAACUACGUGCCAGCAGCCGCGGUAAUACGUAGGGGGCACGCGUUUUCCGGAUUUGCGUGGGGUAAAGGGGGCGCAGACGGCGAUGCAGGCCAGGAGUGAAAGCCCGGGGCCCAACCCCGGGCCUGCUCUUGGAACUGGGUGGCUAGAGUGCAGGAGGGGCAGGCGGAAUUCCUGGUGUAGCGGUGAAAUGCGUAGAUAUCAGGAGGAACACCGGUGGCGAAGGCGGCCUGCUGGACUGCAACUGACGUUGAGGCCCGAAAGCGUGGGGAGCAAACAGGAUUAGAUACCCGAGUAGUC